GCGCGACUCGCCGUGCCAGAGAGAGAAUAGGUUGGAUAAUGAAAACAUCUGCAGAGGGAAAAAGUAGAACAAGGAGAAGAAGAUGAGAGUUGCAGUGAGGACUGAGGAGGCUCUUUUCCCUCUGUUCCAGGCAGCCUUAGUGGAGACCCAACCGGACUACUUCAGCAAUCGAGUCGCGGAAUCCGAUCAACGGCUGUGAUUUCUUCCAUCUUCCUCAUAGAGGUUUGAGUUAUCCUCUUCUCAUCCUAAAUUUAUGGUUUUCUUUUCCAUUUUAUAACGUAUAAGGAUAAUCCGAUGUUAUCGGGCUGCAUUCUAGAUUCAGUUGUGUGCUAAUGAAAUUGGUGAUCGAUCUCAUUUGCUUAAUUACUAACCACUAAUUACUCUGAAGAGAUGUCUCUGUUCUGUUCUUAGUUUUCUAGAGUAUUCUGGCAUAAUAAACUUUGGGAAUUUGAUGGUCCUUCUCAUGUAUUGGAGAUUCAAAUGGGGAUUUAAGGACUUCUCUAUUUUAAUUUACAGCUACACUUGAAAGUCCAUAACUAAUCAUUUCUCAAUCUAGUAUUUGGAAAGAAGAGAGAGAAAAAGAGUGUUGGACUUUUCAAAAUGUUACACGCAACAAUUGGAAUAUUUCAAUUUCCCCUUUUGUUUGAGAUAUAUUCAAGAGGAGAGUUAAAAUACUUAUCAAAGCACUUGAAAUGCUACAAUAUAGUCAUAGCCCUCAUAAUUUGGUAUUAGCAAACGAAAAAUUAGAAAGGUUAUGUUCAAUAUUACACAAACGACGGCCAAGAUAUUGUGGAUGCUAUUCAGUACUCAGCAUAAUUAAUUUUCUUGUUUGGUCAUUCUCAACUAGUUGUUUUGCAUCAUGUUUCUAAUCAUAAAGCUAAGGAACUUGGAAGGAAAAUGACAGCAUUUCCUUAUGGUGAAAUAGAUAUGUUAAGGAAAAUGACAUUAUGCUGCAAAUUGAGACAACAUAUUGGUGAUGGGACCCAUAAAUCUAAUAUUCGGGUUUUAAGUUCUCGUUGGAAAAUUAUCGGUCAUGACAUUAAGUAUAGGUUAUUGUGUUUAACUGUUAAUUUUUUAUAGUUGACUCACUGAGUGUCAUUUGAUUUAUUGGAAAACAUGACUGGGGUCUUCAUUGUUGCGGGGUCUUGGCAACAACUUUUCUAGCUUCUUGGACUUAUCACGUGAGAUGACAUGCAGUAAUUUCAUGGCUCAGGUUAGUAGAUCUUAAUUGUGAAGCUUAUUGUUGGAACAUGUGAAAGUUUAAUGUGGUUUGCUUGCAACGUGCUUUGAUUUCUUGAAGCCAUCAAUCUCAUAUAAAGUCUAGAAACUUGAGAUUGAUUUCUUUUAAUAUUAAGACUGUGCAUUGGAGUAGUUUAUAAGCUGUUGACUGAGAACCAUUUAAUUAGUUGGAGUGUCAUCAGCUAUUUUGUGUUGUAAAUGAUUGGAAAAAAAAAAUUUCUAGAAAAAUAAUGUUUCUAUCCUAGAUGGAAGAUGUGCUUUGUUAUGCAUAUUUUUCUUGAAGUGAUGAAAAUACAAGACACCGAUUUCUUUGAUUUGAAGCCAUUUCAGAUUAUCUUAGGUCUGCUACAUCUCCCACUUAAACUUUUCUUUUUUGCUGUUCCAUUAAAUUUGCUUACAGCCUCUUAUGUAUCCUUUUCUAAUCAUGGCCUUAAUAUUUGUUUUAACUUUUGCAGCAAGAAAGGACUUUCAUCCAAAUGAGGACAGUUCUCAAAGUUGUGGACAAUUCAGAUACAAAGAACGUUAUGUGCAUUCAAGCUCUAAAGGGGGAAAAGGUCAAGAUUGGGGGGCACAGUAAUAGCUUCGGCAAAGGAAGCUAUGCUAAAUGAAAAGGUGAAGAAAGGACAGGUUGUAUAGGUGCAGUUGUGCGUGCUGCUAUGCAGUGGAGCCACUGUGAUGGUAAUGAGGUGAAGUUUGAUGAUAACCCUGCUGCACUGGUUGAUAAGCAAGGUCAGCUAAUUGGGCUAGAGUGUUUUGGCCAGUUCUACUUGAGAUAAGAAAGAAAAAGCGCGUCAAGAUCCUUAUCUGGCAGACUAUACUGUGAAAAAUUUUGAAAUUUGUGAUCUUUGCUGUGCUAGGGAUAUCCUAUUUUUUGUUCAGGGAGAACUCUGAAGGAAAGAAACAAAAGGCAGUAAGUAGGCUUUGGUUGGAGAGCUAAAGACAUUUCGUUUAGUUACAGAUGCUGCAGGUGGCUUAAUGCUAAGUAUUGGCGUCUGGUCUUUUCCGGACCAUUAAAAUGGAAUUUGAGAGUAAUUUAUUUUAGAUUACUGUAUUACUUUGUCGGUCUUUUUGAUCUUCAUUGAAAAGAUUUGAUGUCUGACUCAAUGCCAGGAUUCAAAAACUCAAGUCUUAACCGGUGCGUGAAUUAUAAGAUUUUUUGUAAUACGUGUUAG
rnacentral:misc_RNA from 1 species